rnacentral:tRNA from 1 species
GCCAAAAUAGCUCAAUUGGAAGAGCGUUAGACUAUGGAUCGAAAGUCCCUGAUUCGAUCCCAGGUUUCGGCA